GGACCGUUGUGUAUCUAUUAUCUAUGGACAUGACGAUCAUGGCUACCAAAUAUAUUGUUUAUGUGAACAAUGCUCUGACAAUGGCCUGUUAUUAUCUUGGAUUUCAAAAUGAUGCCUACAGUAUAUCAGGCAAUUAUUUUGAGGCCUCUUCCUAUCAAUGUUUAUUAUAGGUGUAGGGGUUGGAGUGAACUGUAGAGGUAGAAACGAUUGUAUAGUCCAAAUAGAGCUGUGACCAGCAUGGACACAAACAAAUUGAAUCAAAAGGUAGGAUUGUUUGAAUUUGAUGAAUGAAUUGUUUUUGCAAUCAAAUAAUUGGACUGAUUUUCAGCUGUAUAUGGCAUUUACUUGGUUUUUGUUUAUUUACAAGUGUUUUUAAUGUCCUUUUCUUAGUAUACAUUCACAUUUUAUUUAUUGUGUUGAAUUGAAUAUUACUUUUUUAUACAAAAAAAAAUUAUGUAAACCUUACCCAGUGAUGGUGUAAAUAUCUGUAAUUAUUGGAGAAAUACCUGUGAGUUGAUAAAGGUCUGUAGUGAAUGUUAAUAAAUCGAUUAAAAAGGACAUAUUACAACCUGUCAACUAUUGUAUACCCAGAGCCUAACUUAAUUAUAUAUUUAAAUAGUGUUUUGAUUGUUUAACAGGAAUAUUACACGAACAUUGGACAUGAUAUGCAAUUGAUUUGUGAUUGUAGCAGUCCACAUUUGAUCCCAGUAUGGAGCAGUAUCCUUUUAUUCGCUGGAAGCAGAAACAAUAAGGAAACAUAAUAACUCUGACUACAAUGUUCAGUUGGGUGUUGAUCCUAUAGUCCCCAUUUUACUACAGAAUGGAUCAAGGUCCGCUGGAAGAAACAAAAGCAAUAAGGGGUCAUUUUGAAAACUUUGGAUGCCAUGGGUUACAGAGUAUUGGUUGUAUUAACCGUCCUUUACUCAAGGAAAUAGCAGUAUCUAAAGUCCUAAAGGGAAGUGCCUUUUUUCCAUUGGAAACAGAGGAAACAUUAAAAGAAGGAUUUAUAAUAACAAAUGGAUUGACGAUAAAUUAAGAGUGGAAGAAUGUUCAUUUUGAUGCAACUGAAAAGCAAAUUUUUUCAUCUUGGAGGAUCUUGUGGUUAAUUUAGGCGAGCAUACGUAGAACAUUCACUCCAGAAGAUAGCUGUACCUAUGGUCUCAAAGAAAGUAUGAUAGUGCCUUUGUUUCAUUUGGAACGGAGACGGUGUGGAAUUGCCAAAGGAAGGAUUUAUAAGAAUGAAUUAACUAAUUAUCCAACAAAAGAGAAGGAAUUGCAGUUAAUUUUGAUGCUUUUGAUGUCAUCACUUUGCAACAUUAUGGAUUUAAUUUUGAACUUUCGAAGACAAGGCAACUGGAAAUUAGUUUAGAAAGGACUGAAACAACAGGUUGUCUGCAGUGGUUUUCCUGUUGGAUUUGGCUUGCCCAUUACACUUGGAGACUUUAAAAUACUACUUCCUGCAGUUAAAGAUUAUCGAACAAAUGAGUUCAGUUUGGCUGUACUGAAACGGCCAAUGUCUACAUGGGUGUUUUCUCUUCUGGUCUUGGUUUUGAUUUGCUAUUUGUAUCUUCACCUCGCAACCUAUGCAGUUAACUGGAGACUUAUUUGAACAGCAGACUUUCUGCCGUGGUAUUCUGGAUUUGGUUUGCUUUUUACACCUGCAAACAUUGAGAGGUAGCAGUCUACAGUUAAUUAAGGUG